rnacentral:rRNA from 2 species
UUUUAUGGAGAGUUUGAUCCUGGCUCAGAGUGAACGCUGGCGGCGUGCCUAAUACAUGCAAGUCGAACGAUGAAGCUUCUAGCUUGCUAGAAUGCUGAUUAGUGGCGCACGGGUGAGUAACGCAUAGGUCAUGUGCCUCUUAGUUUGGGAUAGCCAUUGGAAACGAUGAUUAAUACCAGAUACUCCCUACGGGGGAAAGAUUUAUCGCUAAGAGAUCAGCCUAUGUCCUAUCAGCUUGUUGGUAAGGUAAUGGCUUACCAAGGCUAUGACGGGUAUCCGGCCUGAGAGGGUGAACGGACACACUGGAACUGAGACACGGUCCAGACUCCUACGGGAGGCAGCAGUAGGGAAUAUUGCUCAAUGGGGGAAACCCUGAAGCAGCAACGCCGCGUGGAGGAUGAAGGUUUUAGGAUUGUAAACUCCUUUUGUUAGAGAAGAUAAUGACGGUAUCUAACGAAUAAGCACCGGCUAACUCCGUGCCAGCAGCCGCGGUAAUACGGAGGGUGCAAGCGUUACUCGGAAUCACUGGGCGUAAAGAGCGCGUAGGCGGGAUAGUCAGUCAGGUGUGAAAUCCUAUGGCUUAACCAUAGAACUGCAUUUGAAACUACUAUUCUAGAGUGUGGGAGAGGUAGGUGGAAUUCUUGGUGUAGGGGUAAAAUCCGUAGAGAUCAAGAGGAAUACUCAUUGCGAAGGCGACCUGCUGGAACAUUACUGACGCUGAUUGUGCGAAAGCGUGGGGAGCAAACAGGAUUAGAUACCCUGGUAGUCCACGCCCUAAACGAUGGAUGCUAGUUGUUGGAGGGCUUAGUCUCUCCAGUAAUGCAGCUAACGCAUUAAGCAUCCCGCCUGGGGAGUACGGUCGCAAGAUUAAAACUCAAAGGAAUAGACGGGGACCCGCACAAGCGGUGGAGCAUGUGGUUUAAUUCGAAGAUACACGAAGAACCUUACCUAGGCUUGACAUUGAGAGAAUCCGCUAGAAAUAGUGGAGUGUCUGGCUUGCCAGACCUUGAAAACAGGUGCUGCACGGCUGUCGUCAGCUCGUGUCGUGAGAUGUUGGGUUAAGUCCCGCAACGAGCGCAACCCCCUUUCUUAGUUGCUAACAGGUCAUGCUGAGAACUCUAAGGAUACUGCCUCCGUAAGGAGGAGGAAGGUGGGGACGACGUCAAGUCAUCAUGGCCCUUACGCCUAGGGCUACACACGUGCUACAAUGGGGUGCACAAAGAGAAGCAAUACUGCGAAGUGGAGCCAAUCUUCAAAACACCUCUCAGUUCGGAUUGUAGGCUGCAACUCGCCUGCAUGAAGCUGGAAUCGCUAGUAAUCGCAAAUCAGCCAUGUUGCGGUGAAUACGUUCCCGGGUCUUGUACUCACCGCCCGUCACACCAUGGGAGUUGUGUUUGCCUUAAGUCAGGAUGCUAAAUUGGCUACUGCCCACGGCACACACAGCGACUGGGGUGAAGUCGUAACAAGGUAACCGUAGGUGAACCUGCGGUUGGAUCACCUCCUUUCUA